rnacentral:lncRNA from 1 species
UUCUCAUCUACUGCUCUGGAGGGGAGGAGGGAAGACUUCCUUAUGGGUAAGUUAAGGAAGAGGGAAGUAGGCAUACUCAGCUCACUUCACCCUUUUUCUUUUCCAGGUAGCCUGCCUACAGAGAACAAGGGUUCGUUUUAUUUCCUGCCUGCUCCCAGAGAGGAGGUUAUGGUGUUCCAGAAUGUUCUGUGUCUGGAUGAGGAUGCCUGCCUUAAUUCUGGCUCAGUAUUGAGCGAUGCUGUGUCUCCUCUAUUGCACAAGUGAAACGAGUGUCUCGCAUCCCGCUGCCUCUCUCCGUACUUAAUUCCAUUUGGAAUUCAGUUUCUCUGCCAAUCACUGCACCCAAUUGGCAGAACUUGAAUCACAUCUGGAACCCAGCUUUGCAGCCUCUGAGCCUGGAAAACACACCCAAGGAGGAUGGAAAAGAUGUUAGGCAAGUCAAUCUCAAGUAUCAUGCAAACCCUUUAAUAGAAUUUCUCCUUUGCUUCAGCAUUUUCUCCCUGUUCACAUGAAGUAUUACUUC